AGAACAAAGAGUUGUCCAUCAACAUUGCAGAAGUUGUGGCACAGUUAUCCUCUAAGAAGCUCAUAUCAUUGUUGAUGGGAAAAUCCAACAGCAGUUGCAGUGCAGAGUCUGAUGAAUCCUGCAGGAGUUGAGGAACCUGCUAAAUUGUGGCCAAUGUCCAUGGUGAUAGCUGAAAUUGAUCCACAUUUGGUACUCGAAGAACCCUGAGAAAUGGGGCUUUCGCAUGCAAAUGCAGAGGAUUGAAGAGUAAAGACUCCCUGGAAAGCCUAGCUUCUGCUUCAAGCCUAGCAUUCUCCCAUUGAGCCAUGUGGCGAGUGGUAGGAGAUGCAGGAGAUUUAAUGGCUGGUCCGCAGGAAGAGGCAAAGGGCUCGUGAGUUUGUGGAUCAAGCCCCAUGCACAGCAUGCGCUUCUUCAGGUUUUUCAGAAGCACAGGAACUGCAUGAGAGAGAAAGCAAAUGCAAUGAAGUUGAAAGCGAUAGCAUUAAUAGUGGAUUCACAUCGAAGAGAAGACAAGGGAGAAAUAAAUUUAUGAAGGAAGGGAGAGUUAUGGCUAUGACAGUGACUUGCAGCGUACGGAUACACAUGAUGACCCGACUCGGCCAUCAGUUAUUCAAUUGUUUCUGCUUGGUCAGUGAGAAAACGAAGCUAGAAACAAAGAAAAAUAAGAAAAACAUUAAUGGCCAUGACUGUAUGACAUGACAUUACCCAUAUAUUUAUUUCAAAAUCAUAAAAAGGAAAAAUAAAACUGAACACUGUUUCUCGA